rnacentral:rRNA from 1 species
UACAGAGGGUGCGAGCGUUAAUCGGAAUUACUGGGCGUAAAGCGUGCGUAGACGGCUAUCUAAGUCGGGUGUGAAAGCCCCGGGCUCAACCUGGGAAUUGCAUUCGAGACUGAAUAGCUAGGGUACGGUAGAGGGAAGCGGAAUUCCGGUGUAGCGGUGAAAUGCGUAGAUAUCGGAAGGAACAUCAGUGGCGAAAGCGG